UUACUGAACAGAGAGAGGGAGAGGGAGAGUGGUUUAUUCGUUUAUUCAUUUAUUCGUGUAUUCAACUCAAAGUCUUCAAUCUCUCUUUUGACUUUAUAAUAAACAACUAUAUUGUUUGUGUAGAAUGCAUUAGCCUCAUUGUACGUGAAAUAACUAUACAACUUUCAACAACGGAUCUCUUGGCUCUCGCAUCGAUGAAAAACGCAGCGAAAUGCGAUAAGUAAUGUGAAUUGCAGAAUUCAUUGAAUCAUCGAAUCUUUGAACGCACCUUGCACUCCUUGGUAUUCCGAGGAGUAUGCCUGUUUGAGUGUCAUGUUAAUCUCAAUACAACAUUUUUUGUAACUAAAAAGUGUUGAUAUUGGACUUGGGGACUGCUGGCGUAAGUCGGCUUCUCUUGAAUGCAUUAGCUGGGCUUUUGCUCGAGUAAUUGGUGUAAUAGUUUCUAACAUUCACCGUUUACACUUGCUAAUAGAGUCUGCUUCUAAUCGUCUUGUAAUGAGACAAAC
rnacentral:misc_RNA from 1 species